rnacentral:rRNA from 1 species
CACCGCGGUUAUACGAGAGACUCAAGUUGACAGUCAUCGGCGUAAAGAGUGGUUAAGAUGUACAAAAACUAGAGCUAAAUACCCUCAAGGCUGUUAUACGCUCCCGAAGGUAAGAAACCCAACUACGAAAGUGGCUCUAUUAUAUCUGAUUCCACGAAAGCUAGGGCACAAACUGGGAUUAGAUACCCCACUAUGCCUAGCCCUAAACAUUGACAGUUAAUUACACCCACUGUCCGCCUGGGAACUACGAGCACCAGCUUAAAACCCAAAGGACUUGGCGGUGCUUUAGACCCACCUAGAGGAGCCUGAUCUAGAACCGAUAAUCCCCGUUAAACCUCACCCUUCCUUGUCAUUUCCGCCUAUAUACCACCGUCGCCAGCUUACCCUGUGAAGGCCCAAUAGUAAGCGCAAUCGGCAAUGCCCAAAACGUCAGGUCGAGGUGUAGCGAAUGGAAGGGGAAGAAUUGGGCUACAUUUACUGAUACAGUAAAUACGGAUGACUACCCUGCAACGAGUGUCUGAAGGAGGAUUUAGCAGUAAGCAAAAAGCAGAGUGUUUUGCUGAAAUUGGCCCUGAAGCGUGCACACACCGCCCGUCACUCUCUCCGAACUAAGACUUUAAACAUAACUAAUAUGCUAUAACUGUAAAGGAGAGGCAAGUCGUAA